rnacentral:rRNA from 1 species
AUUGAACGCUGGCGGCAGGCCUAACACAUGCAAGUCGAACGAGUGGCGGACGGGUGAGUAAUGUCUGGGAAACUGCCUGAUGGAGGGGGAUAACUACUGGAAACGGUAGCUAAUAACGCAUACCAUCGGAUGUGCCCAGAUGGGCUUUGCUAGUGGGUGGGGUAAAUGCUCACCUAGGCGACGAUCCCUAGCUGGUCUGAGAGGAUGACCGGCCACACUGGAACUGAGACACGGUCCAGACUCCGAGGGGAGGCAGCAGUGGGGAAUAUGGCACGAUGGGCGCAAGCCUGAUGCAGCCAUGCAGCGUGUAUGAAGAAGGCCUUCGGGUUGUAAAGUGCUUUCAGCGGGGAGGCGUUACCCGCAGAAGAAGCACCGGCUAACUCCGUGCCAGCCGCCGCGGUAAUUC